UUACAGAUAUAUCAAUCCUGUUUGGACUUUGCUGGCAUGGACGAAUGCUAUCAAGGCUCUUAACAUUAUAUUCAGGGUGGGUGAUGGCGGUAAGGGUGAGUUUCUGGGGACAUAGGUGGUGUGGAAGAAGACUUUGAGAUCACAUUUCCGCAUCUCUACAAAAUUUCAUGCCAAAAGGAGAUGCCAAUCCAGUGUAUAGCGGGGUUUGAGAUUUAGGAGGAACUUGCAAGAUGGGAGGUGGAAGAUUUCAGCUUUUGCUUGAUUUUAUUCGCAAUCAAAAAAUUUCACAGGACAGUCAUGAUGUAUGGAGAUGAGGGACGAAGGAAGACGUUCUGUUUUCUGUUAAGUCCUAUAUGAGAAGCUUCUGGUUAGGGAGGAGCCAGUCUUUCCACAUAUUUCAGUAUGGAUCCCUAGGGUACCGAGAAAAACUCAUUUUUUCACUUGGGUAGCUGUGAGGGGUGAUUUUGACGGCGGAGAAUUUAAAGAGGAAGAUUACUUAUGUUCAUUGGUGCUUCAUGUGUAAACACUCAGGGGAAGAAGUGAAUUGUUACACCCCGUAUUUUCGGAGCACGAUCAUGACAUGUACAUCACCAUAGUGAUGGAGUGUCGAAGACGUCGCCUGACGUUUGGGGAGGUACAAGCCAUGGGAAAUAUGUAACAACAAAGAAAAACGGACGAAUUACGAUCUCGUAAGUCAUAAUCGGGAAAGACUAUUUUGAAACACGAGAACAUAGCCAUUAAUAGUAUAAUGAAUGAUAAAUAUCAUAUAUGGAGAGUUUUGGAGUAUUUCGAGAUCAAAAAAAUAAAAUAAUAAUAAUAAUAAGUUCGACGAAAAUUUGAGAAAUGCUGGGCGAAUUUUUUUAUCAACUUUGGAGGUGCAUAUCUCAUAGUAUAUAUGGGGUUUUAAGGUGAAACAAAAGCCUAAAAUGUAGUUCGUCGAGUCUAGUUUUUAAUGAAAUAACCCGUUCGUCGAUAGGAUAUCGGAGUAGAGAAUUAUGGACGUUACAAACUGAACUGUCGACGCAGAAACAGGACGCUACAGUACUGCUACAGUACUGUAGCUACGGUACUGUAGCUACAGUGACGCCGCCCCAACUGAAUAUAAAAGGGGCUCAAAACCUCAUUUUUCAGCACAAAAAAAAGUCCCAAACAUUCCAGAAAAAUCAGCAACCAAAAAGAAAGCAUAUCUACCUCAAGAUUGAGGAUUUUGAGCAAAUAUUCAAACUACGAAAUACUAAUCGGAGUCAGGACAACGCGUAGACGCGAUGAUGAUUAAAUUUGUGUGUCGGAGUAGUUUGGGAAUAAGCAAAGGAUGAAGAUUUUGCUACUUUCAUAAAAAAAUAAGAUUUUGAAGGAAACGGGAUUUGAGUUUGGACGAGCGUAAAAGGCACAUACGGUAUGUAAGGCCCUACCUUUCCUUUCUUUGGCAUGUCCUAGUUAUGAUAGGUUAUGAUACAAGCCUCGGGGGUAUCUCUAUUCCUUAAAAUCCGAGCCUAGUUUUGCCCCUUUUUCAUUCAAUGUAAUUGAAUUAUGUUUUGUUGGAAAAAUGUUUGAACAUCUUUUACUCCUAAAAGAAUCUUACAUGAUUAAACUUUCAUAACUUUCACAAGAAAAAUCGGAAUGCCCCGAAACUUUUUUGCAAACGACUCCAUAGAGCCUAAGGUUCGUAAUUUAUGUACUCCACCUUGGUUUGACCCGAGGUGGGCCCACUGUUCCCGAACUCUGUCCAUAUUGUUCUAUGAAACCUAUUUUCGAGUGACAUUUUUAAGAAAAAUUUUGACUAUUGUUUCGACUACUAAACGAUGGUUAUUUAACUAUUCCAUUGAGCCUAUAAUACAUUUUGACACGUACAAAGGAUUCCAGAAGUUCUGUUUUGAUAAAAUCCUCCGUGACCUUUAAAAGGUAUGUGCUAUGUCUAUCGUCCGGACCCUUUUUCAUGAUUUGUCGUUUGAUUGUUCUAUCGGGUCUCUGUAAAUGUUUUACAUUUUAUAUUGCAUUUAGUUUCUCACUACUCCGUUCGUGGAUGCCUCAAUGUUUCCCACACUGAGCCCGGGCCAGGAUAUGUUAUCACGCGUAUUCCACUGCAUUGUUCGCCGUGCCUCGAUAUGAGGGGGAAGGUAUAUAUGUACAUGGGUUGUGGAGUAUGUUGUGCCAUGUACACACUCUGAUAUGAUAUGAUAUGAUAUGGCCAUCUGAUAUGUUAUGAUGUGUGCACAUUCUGAUAUGAUAUGAUAUGUUACAGAGCUAUUCCCUACUCUGGAGUAUGAUGUGUUGUGGCGCCAGUGUCGGGGGCGACCACGUUCUAUUCACCGAGUCCCAUAAUGGGGCCGGAUAUGGCAUAUUUUCUGUUAUGCAUCGCCCAUGUUUAUGAGUACACCCAGAGGAGUACAGGCUAUUAUAGAAGAUAUUCCAGCGGCGUUGGCAAGCUCCAUUUGCUCCUGGAGUGCUGCCGAGUCAAAGUGUGUAUGCUAUGUGUUCUGGUUAGCUGUUAGAGACUUUGCAGACAGAGUCGUGGGUUCUGACUGUCAGUUUUGUGAGCGGCUCCAUCAGCCGAUAUGUCAUUCUGUAUUUUGAAGUAAAUUCCAUGUGAUUACAGAUUCUGUCAAUUGUAAACUACAAAAGAGUAUUUCCAAAAACAUUUGCUGUAUGUGUCAAUUUUUGUCUGAUUAAGAGUCUGAGAGAUUAUGUUUGUAAUAAGAGUCAGUGGGUUCGCUCGGCUCCGAAUGUGGGGUCGGGUGCCCAUCACACCCUAGUAAGAUUAGGGUGUGACAUGAAUAACCUCUUAUUACAUUGUCGGACAACAUCUUAUCUGUGGUUGGAAUCAUUGAGGUCGUUUGGUCUUGAGUGGGUGAUGCCGGGCACCGUGAAAGAAACUAUGUUUAGUUGGGCUUUCAGAAGACAGAAACGAAGAUGAAGGGCAUGGUAUGUUGCCACUCUAGCACUCAUGUGAAUUGUUUGGAAGAGGAACAGGAGAGCUUUUGAUGGUGUAGAUAAAGAUCUUGUUCACUUGAGGAGUAGCCUCUUUUCCCUUAUUGAUUUCUGGUGCACUCAUGUGGUUCCUCUUGUAUACGGGCGUGUUUUGCCCUCUUUUAAUGGAAUUUAUUAACUUAUUAAAGAAAAGGUUCUUAGUGAUUGCAAAAUAAGUCAUUGUACCAAUAUGGUAUAUUUGACAGGAUAUGGCAUCUACUAAAUAGGAUUGCUUAUUUAACCAGACAUAAUCCCCAUGGCCCUCAAUGGUUAUCAAAACUAUUCCAUUCCAUUACUUCAAGUUUGUUAAAGCAUCUCUUGAGAAAGCAGACAUAUUGUUGAAGAUAUAAUUAAAUAAAAAUAUGUUCUCUGAUGACUUAAGCUUUUAAAUGAGAUGGUCACACAAUUCAAUAUGGUACUAGAGCAGACAAAGAUCCUCGGUUUAAGUCUCACCGACACCCAUUAUCAAAAAUAAUUUUCACGUACUUGGCUAAUGAAAAACAAAACAAGCCCACAAGUGCGGGGGUUUCUUGAAGAUAGUAAGUUAAUAGAAAUGUGCUCUCCCAGACAACUUAAACUUUUAGAUGAGAUGGUCACACAAUUCAAUACGUAUAACUAAACACUCGGAGCGGAGUUGCCGCGGAACCGUCGACAUGUGUUGUGAAAAUAGAAAGCAUCUAAUUGAAUUGAUGAACAACAGGUGCUUGUUAUAUUGGAGUCUUAACUAUGUAUAAAAGCGUGACUGGAAUUGGUAGAACACUUACAAGAAAUUCAAGGUUUAGUAUAUAAAAUGUAGGUUGGGCUUGAAUGGUUGACCGAAGAGACGGGGCACCAAUUCAUGGAGAGAGGAGCUUUGGGUCCAAAAAAGGAAGCAAAAAGAAGAAAACUUUGGCCCUGUGAGCAGCAUAUAUUGGCUGAUACUAUCUGCUAGUAGCGUAAGCUAUUUGGACCUCUACUAGGAUCGUAGAGGCGGGCCUCUACUAAGAUCGUAGAGGUUCGGAUACCACGUGAAUGUUGAAUUAUAUGACCAUCUUAUCUAAAGACUUAAAUUAUAAAAGAGAACACACCUUUAUUUAUUUGAUUAUAUCUUAUCUUCAACACAUCUUUACAUGCAGGCCUGUUUCUUUUUAAUCAGCGAAACACGUGGAAUGUUUUUGAUAAUGGAUGACAGUGAGACUCGAAUCUAGAGUCUCUGCCUACUCGGAUCUCAUUGACUUGAGUAGCACUAUACAAGAGGUGCUCCUUAUAUAGUCCUAGACUAUGUAUAAUGUGCUAGAUAGUGCUAAUAAGGUAAUCACAUACUCUAUAAUUCAAGAAUUACCUACAACAUUCUACAGAAUAUUUUAUAAGAUUUUCAUUAUUCAAGUAUAAUAAAUUUAGGCACAUAUUCACAUAGUAUCUUGAAUACAAAUGAGGUUAACACAUUUUGACAGUGUUUACUCAACCUCAGUGCAUAAUAUUCACUUGUCCAUACUCCUAGGACUCAACUUUUCUACUUUUGAACUGUGGUCACAAUGGUAAAUAUGGAUACCCUUUUCUGCUUCAGUUCCAACAAAUACAACAUUUUCAUAUUUUCAUACUCCCUUCAUUUCAAUUUAUGUGAACCUAUUUCCUUAUUAGUCUGUGUCAAAAAGAAUGACCUCUUACCAUAUUUGGAAACAGUUUACCUUUAUUCAAUGAUUUAUAGCCACACAAAAUAUAUGUGACUCAUUUAACACCACAAGUUUUAAAAGUCUUCUCUACUUUCUUAAAC